rnacentral:rRNA from 1 species
UGUACCUACGGGGGGCAGCAGUAGGGAAUCUUCCACAAUGGGCGAAAGCCUGAUGGAGCAACGCCGCGUGGGUGAAGAAGGUCUUCGGAUCGUAAAACCCUGUUGUUAGAGAAGAAAGUGCGUGAGAGUAACUGUUCACGUUUCGACGGUAUCUAACCAGAAAGCCACGGCUAACUACGUGCCAGCAGCCGUGGUAAUACGUAGGUGGCAAGCGUUAUCCGGAUUUAUUGGGCGUAAAGGGAACGCAGGCGGUCUUUUAAGUCUGAUGUGAAAUCCUAUGGCUUAACCAUAGAACUGCAUUUGAA